CUUAAUCAGCACAGGAAGUGAAAGUCACUAAAUUAUUUCUGUUCCAAGCUCCACUUUGGGCCAUUAAUUCCUCCCUCUGGCUGCCCUGGUGGCCUACCCUGGCCCUGAUCUAGCAUCAGCACAGCCUCCCUUCGCAUCCUGACCUUGACAGUGUACUUGUCUGCUUCCAGAACUGAACCAGAAGCCUUUAGAAGGCAGGGUCUGUCUCUUUGCUCAGGACACGGCCCCUGUGGGUCCAGCCCCUGAUGUGGGACACUGCUGUAAUACUUGUGGGAAAAAAAUGGAUACAUUAACCAAAUUCAAAAAUUGCCGCUCCCCUUUCUAUGAAUAAAUCUGGGAGCUCCCAACCUUCCAGCUAGAAAGGCACGGAGGCAAAGUGGUGUUCAAGGCAGCAUAUCCAUUCUGCUUAAUGCCUCUGGCUUCUUGGAAGGUUGUCCCAGAGCCAGCAAGACGAGAUGUUUUCUUUCCUUUUUUCUUUGGAUCCUAAAUUAUUUCUGAAAGUUACAGCAUUUUGGAUUUGUAUUGUUUAUUAGCUGUCACUUUUGUUUUUCCCCCCCUUCUCUGGACCUGGUUGAACUUGACGGUCCCCUCUGAAGCUGUUCCUCAUAUGGAAAGUUCCCCCGUCAGCGCACCAUAAAUAAUCAAGGCCGGGUGCAUUCCAUGGCCUUCUCUGGCUUCGUUCUCCCUCCAGCCUCCCAUCUGCACGGCUCCAGGUUCCUGUGGUCCCGGUGACAUGCUUGCUGGCAAGCAAUGCUCAGCUUCAUGUAUUUAUUGGGAUUCUCAGAUCUGGACUGGUUUGCUCCAUUCAAGCUGCUGACAUGCUUUGUGAGUUGAAAAAAGGCUUUACUGGAUUCAUCUGAGCUGACAUUCGGAAUGGCCUCAGCGACGUUGUGAAAGAGGAAAAUGUUGUCUCACCCCUCAGCUUGAGCCUCUGCUACCUGACAGGACCGCACCAUGGCCCUCAGGUACCUACAGUCAGUUUGAUUUCAUAAAAAUAAUACAGAUAAAAUGGUGUGACAGAAAUCUGGUCCUCUGAAGAAGAUGCAAAUUCUGACCGCAUUGGAACCUUCCAGAACCAACAGCCCUCCUCUCCUCUCCACCCUCUCGCCAUCCCCUUGCCUAUGAGAAGCAGACCAUGCCUGGCCAAUUUCUCUGCGCACGUGGGUGUGACCUCGUCCUCCAGGCUUCACUGUCUGGUUCCAUGUUCUGCCCUCUGCCAGGCCUGUGGUAUAACUGGUCAGAGACUCUGGCGGAAGAAAGAGCCGCCUGGAUUUGAAAGCCAUCUGUAUCCUUCCAUCAUCUCCAGGGCGUGCUUCUGAAAGGAGACCGAGUCUCUCAUCUCUGCCGCCUCCCAGGUCAGGUCCCCAGCACCGCCACGAAGGCUGAAAUUCUGCUUGUCACGUGGCUGUCACGUGGCCCAGACCCCUCAAAGCCCUCAUCAUCUCAUACGGAAAAUCAUAAUCACAGUACUGCUGGUACCUCUGAGGGCCUGUGUUACUGAAGAGGGCAAGCUUCUGCCAGACUCACUAAGGACUGGUGCUUCUGUGGGUCCUGUGGGAUUCGUCGGGGAUGUCAGUCGAGCGGGAAGAUUUCCACAUCACAGAGUCCAUGGCCAUGCUGGACACUGAUUGGCCUCCUGGUUGACCUCCCAGAAGAGAAAAAGCUCUGGGCCCCAAAGCUGAGCGGUUGGCUGAAGAGUUGAGACAAUAGUGGGAAACCGUGCUGUGUCCAGCCCAGGCUUGCUCUCUGCUGGGGAGCAAGGAUGAAGUUUUGUGGGAGAGUUCCAGAAUAGUGUGGCUGUAUAAGUGGUUAUUCCUCACUGGAUACCCCCCUCUGGCUCUUGGAGCAUCCUCAGAUCACUUCUGGAAAACGAAAUGCAAACUUGUUGAGAUUCCACUUCUUUGUAAUCUUCUUGCUGUGGAAAUUGAAGAAGCCCAUGGAAGAUUCCAGUUUCCUAAAGCAAGAAUAUAUUAAACUCAUUUCGUCUGUCAUCCGAGGAGAAUUGGAGCCUGCAUUUUUAUUACCACUGAUGUGUGUUCAUCCUUGGAUUUUUUUUUUUUUUGAA